GGUCCACGAGUUGACCUGUCUUGGCCCUUCUGAAGUCUUUUUUUUGGGUGCCAAGCUAUUCGAAUGAACUGGUGCUGAAUUAUCAAAAUGGCGUUAAUAAUCCUAAAAUUAAGGAAAGAAAAAUCAGGCGAAGGCACCUUUUCCAUGGAAAUGAUCCAGAGCCACAAAAUCCGAUAUCCUCUGCCUUCUAUUUUGUUUCUGCUUCACAUGUUAUCACUUCACCUUCCCUCCUUAGCUUAUACUCUUCCAGACAAGUAUUUCAUCAGUUGUGGUUCAGACACCAAUAGUACUGCUUCUGGCCGGACCUUCAUCGGGGACUUGACUUCUGGGAAUUCUGGUUCCUUCACCUUUACAAGGCAGAGUAGUCCUGUUAAAGAUAGCAACAAGUCAACAGCCACACCACCUCUCUAUCAAACAGCAAGGAUUUUCAGAGAACGAUCUUCUUAUGAGUUUGUGAUCAGCAGUGCUGGUACUUAUUUGGUACGACUCCAUUUCUUUUCUUUCUCUUAUUCAGCUAACCUCUCCACAGCCCUUUUCGAUGUUUUGGCUUCUGAAAUUUCACUCGUUGAUAACUUUAGUGUACCGCAUAGGAGCAACUCUCCCCUAAUAAAGGAAUUCUUUAUUAACAUCACUGUUGGCAAAUUUCCGAUAUAUUUUAUGCCCCAAGGAUCAUCUUUCGCGUUUGUCAAUGCCAUAGAACUGUUCCUUGCCCCCGAGAACUUCAUUCCUAGUUCCGCUCCACUCUUAAGCCCUGCUGGAAGUGAAGGUAGUUACGAGGACAUACUCUCUAAGGCUUUACUGACUAUCCACAGAAUAAAUGUUGGAGGCCCCACACUCUCACCUGAAAACGACACUCUAUGGAGAUAUUGGGUCCCAGAUGAUAGUUUUCUCUAUAGUCCAGACACUGCCAAGAACAUCAGCUUUCUUUCAAGUAAGCCUAAUUACCCAGGAGGAGUUAGCGAAUACAUUGCCCCUGAUUUGGUCUAUCAGACUGCCAAGGAGAUGAAUAUAAAUAGCAGUAGGUCUUCAAAUAACUUCAACAUAACCUGGUCUUUUAAUGUGAGCAAGAAUGCUAUGCACUUUGUUCGCGUUCACUUCUGCGAUUUUGUAAGUGCAUCACCUGGUGUUUUGUUGCGUUUCAAUCUCUAUAUCUAUAGCAACUUCCGUCUUCAAAUCAAUCCAUAUGAAAAAACUGGCCGGUUGGCCACUCCUUUCUAUUUUGAAUUUGUUGUAGAUUCUGAUGAUUCUGGAAUUAUGAGGAUCAGUAUCGGCCCCCCUCAAGAUUCUGAAAAUCAUACUGCCUUUUUAAAUGGGCUAGAAAUCAUGGAGAUAAUGGGGGAACUCGGAAAGGUAGCAAGGACAAGUGAUCCCAAGAACAAGAACACUAGUGUCUUUGUUGUUGUUGGCUCAGUUCUUGGAGGCUUGGUUCUCAUCUGCAUUUUGGCAGUUGUUUUAUGCUUGGGUCGAAGAUGCAGGAAACGAAAAGUAAUGGAGACUUUGGAUGGGUCACCUGUGCCGGUAAAUAUAGGAGGGAGCACUGACAGUAGGCUGCAGGUACCUGAAGGUGCCAUGUUUGGCUCCUUGACGCCUAAUUUAAACCUUGGAUUGAGGAUCUCUUUUGCUGAAAUACAGUUCGCAACGAACAACUUUGAUAUCAAAAAGAAAAUUGGCAAGGGUGGAUUUGGGACUGUCUUCCGAGGAACUCUGAGUAAUGGCACUGAAGUUGCUGUGAAACGAAGUGAGCCAGGGUCACACCAGGGCCUUCCAGAAUUUCAAACAGAGAUAAUCGUUUUAUCUAAGAUUCGCCAUCGCCAUCUUGUUUCUUUGAUUGGGUAUUGUGAUGAAAAUUCCGAAAUGAUACUGGUUUAUGAAUUCAUGGAGAAAGGGACAUUGAGGGAUCACCUGUAUGAUUCAGCUUGGCCUUCCUUGCCUUGGAAGCAAAGACUUGAAAUUUGCAUUGGUGCUGCAAAUGGUCUUCACUAUCUCCACAAAGGAUCCUCUGGGGGAUUUAUUCAUCGCGAUGUCAAAUCCACUAACGUCUUGCUUGAUGAGAACUACGUGGCCAAAGUUGCUGACUUUGGGCUUUCAAGGUUAUCAGGUCCUCCCGAUCAAACUCAUGUCAGCACAGUUGUUAAAGGCACCUUCGGUUAUCUUGAUCCUGAUUACUUUAAGACCCAACAAUUAACAGAAAAAUCUGAUGUCUACUCAUUUGGCGUAGUUCUUCUUGAGGUUCUAUGUGCAAGACCUGCUAUCAAUACCUUGCUUCCACUAGAGCAAGUAAAUCUAGCUGAGUGGGCAAUGUUCUGCAAGAAAAAAGGAAUGCUGGAAGAGAUUGUGGAUGCUUCAAUAAGAAGCGAGAUCAACCUCAAUUGUCUAAGGAAAUUUGUUGACACAGCAGAGCGAUGCUUGGAAGAAUAUGGUGUAGAUAGGCCUAAUAUGGGAGAUGUGGUGUGGGAUUUGGAGUACGCAUUGCAACUACAACAAACUGCUAUGCCGAGGGAGCCACAUGAGGACAGCACAACCGAUGCUUCAGCCAUGCUAGCACUGCCUAAUAUUCAACAUCUUCCUUCUCUUAGCAUGUCAAUGGAGAGGGAUGAUAUGUCCAUGUUGAGAGAGGAUCUGUCAAAGUUACCGGAAAUUGAAGUUUUCUCCCAAUUAAGAAUUGAUGAUGCCAGAUGAAUGCUUCAGGUAUACAGAGGAAUUAUAUGAUGGAAGAAGCAAUGUGAGAUUCACAGCUUGGAGUGGUAACAUCAGACCUUCGAUCGAGGGCUUGCAAGAAAGGAGGAUCUAUCAAAUAUCUUUCUUUUCUCUUUUCAUGUAACCUAGUAAAUGGACCUUCAUUUUUCUAGACAUGGGCCUAAACAGCACAGACCUGACAUGGGUUUGUGACGAUGAAUGAAGUUUAGUUGCCUCAUGUUAUCGUGGCCUUGUCUUGAAAGGAGCAGCAAAUACGAGUGAACUCCGGCCACUCUGCCCAGAAGACAAGCUGUUGCCAAUAGCGGUGGAAAUCAAUGCCAAAGAAAUUCGAUGCAGAAAACGUUCACAGUUUCAUUAACCUCUGCCUUUCCUUAACUGACCAAGAAACAGGAAAGGUAGCUAAACAUAACGAUGAUGAUUAGUGUCCGGCGCCUUUCCCGCUAGGUCCAGAGGAAGCCACCUUAUACACCUGCCGCUUUGCUCCAGAAACCUGACCACCACCAGCGUCGUCAACAGACUCUGGAUCAACUGAAACUUUCAUGUUGGUUGACACAGAACCAAACCCGCGGUCAUCGAUAGGAUCAGUAGUAGCAUGGUGAUCAUCGUUCUCGUUCUUCGUUGCUGAUGCAAGAGCUCUAGAAUCAACGAGACUUGGGUUUGUAACAAGUAGGAUCAUGAGCAAGAUGAGUACGGUCAAACAGAAGUGUCCCAUUGUUUGAUAUGUUGAAGCUGUUGGGUUAUGGUUUUUUGAACUCUAAUAUUAUUAGCAGCUCCACCUAUGACAACCCUUGAAAUAUUCCCUGGAGACCCAAAAAGAGUGGAGCUCCUUUUUUGUCUUUUGGUUGGGGCAAAGAACGGAGCUGAAGGAGUUGAUUUGGAUUUUCGAAUCUCCAUUGAACAGGUUACCAACCUUAAUUUAUACACACAACUCGCAUUAAGGGAUAGUUUGGGUGGCACAGGACGGAGGGGGCUUUUUCUGAAAUGGGACCGUUCAACCAAGAGAACAUUUGACUAGAAAUUCUCUUCUGUUUGUUUCGAAGCAAAUUUCACUUUCACACUUGUGUCUUUCCGUUCCUUUUGUCUCUGAAAUUGAUUUACCACAUUUGGAAACACAGGUGGUGGAAGUUGAUUAUUCGUUUA